AGUCCGGGUGGUUUCUUCCGACCGACCGUCAGCACUCGACAAAUAACUGAGCAGCUGCUGGGGCCGGGAACACCGCGGGGACAGGUCAGAGCUGACCCUGAGCGACUCUACUGCCUCUCCCCGCCACGCCCACCUGCCCCCUGCGGGGUAGGACCCCGCAACCACCACUCCAGAGUCCUCUGCAGGGACUGCUGUUGCUACGGGAGAGGAAGCCAGAGGAAGGGGACGCCAUCUGGGGGAUGCUUGGGCCGUGGUGGCUGCAGAAGCAGCAGCAGCAGUGACGGCCACCGCCGCCAACCAGGGGCUUCUCCCUGGCCAGCGCAGCCACCUGGGCUCCGGGCAGCAGCAUUUUCCACGUGGCUCCUCCAAUCCUCACGAGACAGCAGCUCCCUGCAUUGCUAAUGCUCUCUGUAGGUCUGACGAUUUCCAAAAUAAGCUGGGGAAAAAGGUGUUAAGAAAAUGCAGGCGGCAUCCACUUCUAGUCAGAAGGUAGAAAAGUUACAAAAGACUGUCUCGCCCUAAAGAUGAAAACAAGCCAAACAAGCAACAAAAUCAAAGGUAAAGCCAUCUGAGAGCUGGCAAUGCAAAGGGACCUAAAUUAAUCAAAAUGCAGACAGGACGAGCCCUUCCUUGGGGAAGGAGCCCACAGCUUUCACCCUGGUGCGAGGCAGCAGGGCGGGAUGCCCUGCGUGAGGGGAAAUGAGUGGAAGUUCAUGACCGUGUGGGGACUGGCGUGACAGAUGAGGACUCCAGGGAGCCCCAGCACAGCCCGCCUCUGCCCCCUGCCAACUCCCUCACACGGGCUUCAUGGAAGGUUGGGCGCGAGGGAGUGAGGUGCAGAGAAACCUCCUGAGGUACAGAAGUGGGGGCGAGACUGGAGAGCGGAGAGCACCCCAGUGGCCCCACAGUCUGGCGGCAGGGCUGAAUACCAGAGGCCUCCCACAGUUCCAAAAGCUGGCGACUUUAAAACAUAAAGACAUCCCUGGAAUUCUGCCAGGGCUAAGAUCCCAAGCUCUGCUGAAGGGAAAGUCCUAAUUCUACUCUGAACACAUUUAAAGCCGGUGGUAAAGAAACUCCAAUAAAAGCUGCCCCUAAACUACAGAUGAGGUUCACACAGCCCCUCCCUCUUGUGGCUCAACAGGAGAAAUGUGUGCCAUUUUCUUAUUUGUUUAUUUGUUUUAAGACAGGGUCUCACUCUGUCACCCAGGCUGGAGUGCAGUGGCUCGAACACAGUUCACUGCAGCCUCAACCUCCCAGGUUCAGGUGAUCCUCCCCACUCAGCCUCCCAAGUAGCUAGGACUACAGGUGCCAACCACCAUGCCUGGCUAAUUUUUGUAUUUUUUUUGUAGAGGUGGGGUUUCUACAAGUUGCCCAGGCUGGUCUUGAACUACUGGGCUCAAGCGAUCUGCCCACCUUGGCCUCCCAAAGUGCUAGGAUUACAGGCCUGAGCCAUGGUGCCCAGCCUAAGUGUGCCAUUUUCUGAGGAAAAACUUUAUUUACCUCAGUCUCUAAUGUUCUUUUAUACAAAAUAGCUGGCAUACAAUAAAAUUGUAAAACACAUGAAGAACUGGUAACAGAGCAGACUCAGAGAUGAACCAGAUGAUGGAACUAUCAGACAGAGACGUUAAGAUAACCAUGGUAAAUGUGUGAAAGGACUUGGUGGAAAAGGUGGACAACAUGCAUGAACACAUGAGACACAGAGAUGAAAAGUCUAUUAAAAAAAACACAACUAAAUGAAAAUGCUACCAAUAAAAAAUACAAUGUAAGAAAUAAAUAAUUCAUUUGUUGGGCUUGACAGCAGUUACAAAGAAUCAGUGAACAUAAGGACAACUGAAAUUAUCUGAACUGAAAUACAUAGAGGAAAAAUCGUGAAAAGAAUUAAAAAAAUUCAGGUCAUUAAGAUCUAAGGAAUAGUAUCAAAUAGUAUCAAAGAGCAUGUUAUUAGCUUUCCAGACGGAGAGGAGAGCAGAAAUGGGAAGAAAUAUAAGAAAUAAUGGCUAAGAACUUUCCAAAACUAAUGAAAGAUAUUAACCCACAGACUCAAAAAAAGCACAUCAAAGCCCAUCAUAGUCAAACUACUAAAACCCAAAGGCAACAUCUUAAAACCAGUGAAGAAAAAAGCAGACUAUAUAGAACAAAGAUAUGAAUGAUUGCUGAGUUCUCACAGAAACAAUGGAGGUCAAAAGGCAAUGGGAAAAAAACACAUUUAAAGCCUUGAAAGAAACAAUGUCAACCUAGAACUCUACAUCCAGCAAAGACACCCCUAAAAAUGAAGACAAAAUAAAAACAUUUUCAGGCAGACCAAAGCUGAGAGAAUUAGUCUACAGCAGACGUGCACUGUAAGAAAUGCUAAAAGUACUCAGGCAGAAGGGGCAUGAUACCAGAUAGAAACUCACAUAUGGAAGAAGAAACAAGGAGUAAGAGAAAGGGUAAAUAUAAAAGACAUUUUCUGUGUAUUCAUACGUGUAUUUCUUUAGAAGACUAGUGUCUAUUUAAGGAAAUGACAACAAUGUAUUUAUAGCAGAUGCAUAAGCAUGACAAGAGCACAAAGGCUGGGAGAAAAUAAAAGCAAUCACAAUAUUGUAAGAUUCUUUUUUUUUUUUUCUUUUGAGAUGGAGUCUCGCUCUGUUGCCCAGGCUGGAGUGCAGUGGCACGACCUUGGCUCACUGCAACCUCCACCUCCUGGGUUCAAGUGAUUCUUCUGCCUCAGCCUCUCGAGCAGCUGGGAUUAGAAGUGUGUGCCACCAUGCCUGGCUAAUUUUUGUAUUUUUAGUAGAGACAGGGUUGUAGAGAUGGGGUUUUUGCCAUGUUGACCAGGCUAGUCUGGAACUCCUGACCCCAAGUGAUUCACCUGCCUCGGCCUCCGAAACUGCUGGGAUUACAGGCAUGAGCCACUGCCCCAGGCCAUAAGAUUCUUAUAUUGUCCAUUAAGUAUCAUAUUAUUAUUUGAAAGUAGAAUAGGACAAGUUAAAGUUACACAUUGUAAUCUUUGGAGCAGCCUUUUUCAUCCAGGGUUCCGGGAAAUGAUUAAGCCCCACAAAAAAUAUUUUCAGUGAUAUCUGCUCAGUUCUCCCAAGGAGAGCACACAGAUUCACAGGAGAGGAGUUAAUUCACUGCGGAUAUAAUGGAUGCCUAAGGGAGUUAGGGCUUAAUUCUCUCUAUAGAGCCUCAGCUGAGAAGGGCUGCUCUAGAGCAACCAUGUAACACUCCACCCCUCGCCACACACAUUCAAAAGUAUAACAAAAAAUUCAAUAAAACAGAUGAAAUGCUAAAAGAUUCCUGAUUCACACAAAAGAAAGUCAAAGAAGGAGAAACAAGGGGGAAAAAAACAAAUGGGACAUAUAGAAAAGAGACAUCUAGACAGUAGAUUGAAAUGCAAUCAUAUGAUUGCUGAUAGUUAAACAUAAAUGAACUAAACACUCCAAUUAAAAGGUAAAGAUUGGCUGGGAAUGGUGGCUGACACCUGUAAUUCCAGCACUUUAGGAGGCCGAGGUGGGUGGAUUAUCUGAGGUCAGGAGUUUGAGACCAACUUGACCAACAUGGUGAAACACUGUCUCUAUUAAAAAUACAAAAAUCAGGCCAGGCAUGGUGGCUCAUGCCUGUAAUUCCAGCACUUUGGGAGGCUGAGGCAGGUGGAUCACGAGGUCAAGAGAUCGAGGCCAUCCUGGCCAACAUGGUACAAUCCCAUCUCUACUAAAAAUACAGAAGUUAGCUGGGCAUGGUGGUGCACACCUGUAGUCCCAGCUACUCGGGAGGCUGAGGCAGGAGAAUCACUUGAAUCUGGGACACAGAGGUUGCAGUGAGCUGAGAUUGCGCCACUGCACUCUACCCUGGUGACAGAAUGAGACUCCGUCUCAAAAAACAAAACGAAACAAAAAUUAGUUGGGUAUAGUGGCGUGUGCCUGUAAUCCUAGCUACUCUGGAGGCUGAGGCAGGAGAAUUGCUUGAAUCCAGGAGGCAGAAGUUGCAGUGAGCCAAGAUCACACCAUUGCACUCCAACCUGGGCAACAAGAGCGAAAUUCCACCUCAAAAAAAAAAAGGUAAAGAUUGUCCAACUGGAUAAAAAGGCAAGACCCAAGUAUAUGCUGUUUAUAAGAAAAACAUUUUAAAUAUAAAGAUACCAAUGGGUUAAAUACAAAAGGGUAGAAAAGUUAUAGCAUGCAAAUAUUAACUGUAAAAAUCUGGUUUAACUAUUUUAAUAGAAAACAGGGAUUUCAAGCCAAAAAGUACUGAAGUCACUUCAUUAUAAUGAGUCAAUUCAUCAAGAAAGCAUAACAAUCCUAAAUGUGUGCCUAAUAAAAAUUUCAAAAUACAGGAAGCAAAAAACUGAGAAUUAUAGGGAGAAAUAGGCAAAUCUACAAGUAUAGUCGGAGCUUUUAACAGCCCCCUCAAUAAAUGAUUGAGCAAUUAGAAAAAAUAGGCUAUAAAAGAUUUUUAACAGCAGUCUCAACCAUCUUGAACUAAUUGACAUUUAUAGAGCCCUAUGACUAACGACUGCAAAAUACACACUAUUUUCCAGUACAUACUGCAUGUUUGCCAAGACAGAUCUAAAAAUAGCCCCAAUGGAAUCAUCCAGAGUGUGUUGUCUGACCAAAUUAGAAAUCAGUAACAGUAACAUCUAGAAGUCCCCAAAUAUUUGGGAGUUAAACAAUACCCUUCUCAAUAAUCUAUGGAUAAAAUCAGAAACCAUAAAGAAAAUUAGAAAACAAUUCUAACUCAAUGAUAAUGAAAAUACGACGUAUUAAAAUUCACGGGACGCAGCUAACUUACUGCCUGGAAGGAAAUUUAGUUUUAAAUGCUUUGUGUGGAAGAAAAGAUGUAAAAUUAACAGCAUUAAUGUCCAUCUUCAGAAGCCAGAAGAAAGCAAAUUAAACCUCAAGCAUGCAUAGAGAAUAAUGAAUGAAAAAUCAAUGAAACAAAAGACAAUCAAUAGAGAAAUUCAACAUGAACAAUGAAAACAUGUUCACAAAAAGACUUGUCCAAGAAGUUCAUAGCAGCUUAUACUUAUAAAAGCUACAAAGUAGAAAUAACCCAAAUGUCUCUCAAAAGAAGACUGCAUAAACAAGUCAUGGGCUGUUCAGACAAUGGAGGACUUGAGCUACCGAUAUACACAACAUCCAUGUAUGAAUCCCACACACAUUGUGCCACAUGAAAGAAGAGACACUAAACGCUGUAAGCCCAUAUGACAUUGAAAUGAAAUUCAAAACCAGGCAGAAUUAAUUUACAGUGGUGAAAAAUCAGAUCAGUGGUUGCCCCUGGGAUGGGAGUGAGGGCUGACUAGAAAGGGGUCAAAGGGAGCUUUCUGGUUGAUGGAAAUGUUCUGUAACUUGUUUGGGCAGUGGGCACAUAAAACUCUAAAAACUCAUCUAACAGGACACUUCAGAUUUGUGUAUUUUAUUGUGCAUUAAUUAUACUUCAAUUAAAAACAACCAGGAAUGUGGA